GACAGAGGGUGCAAACGUUGCUCGGAAUUACUGGGCGUAAAGCGCGUGUAGGCGGGCCUUCAAGUCGGACGUGAAAUCCCUGAGCUCAACUCAGGAACUGCAUCCGAAACUGAAGGCCUGGAGUAGUGGAGAGGGAAGCAGAAUUCCUGGUGUAGAGGUGAAAUUCGUAGAUAUCAGGAGGAACACCGGUGGCGAAGGCGGCUUCCUGGACACUUACUGACGCUGAGACGCGAAAGCGUGGGGAGCAAACAGGAUUAGAUACCCUGGUAGUCCACGCCGUAAACGAUGAGUGCUGGGUGUCGUAGGUUUUGACCCCUGCGGUGCCGUAGCUAACGCGUUAAGCACUCCGCCUGGGGAGUACGGCCGCAAGGCUAAA
rnacentral:rRNA from 1 species